AACGAACGCUGGCGGCGUGCCUAACACAUGCAAGUCGAACGAGAAAGGGGCUUCGGCUCCGAGUAAAGUGGCGCACGGGUGAGUAACACGUGGGUAACCUGCCUCUAAGAUUGGGAUAACUCGUCGAAAGAUGAGCUAAUACCGGAUAAGACCACAGUUCCCGCGGGAACAGGGGUCAAAGGUAGCCUCUGCUUGCAAGCUAUCACUUAGAGAUGGGCCUGCGCACCAUUAGCUAGUUGGUAGGGUAACGGCCUACCAAGGCAAAGAUGGUUAGCUGGUCGGAGAGGAUGGUCAGCCACACUGGAACUGAGACACGGUCCAGACUCCUACGGGAGGAAGCAGUGGGGAAUAUUGCGCAAUGGGCGAAAGCUUGACGCAGCAACGCCGCGUGAGUGAUGAAGGCCUUCGGGUCGUAAAGCUCUGUCGGGAGGAACGAAUGCUCCCAAGGUUAACAGCCUCGGGAGGUGACGGUACCUUCAAAGGAAGCACCGGCUAACUCUGUGCCAGCAGCCGCCGUAAUAC
rnacentral:rRNA from 1 species